rnacentral:rRNA from 1 species
UACAGAGGGUGCAAGCGUUGCUCGGAAUCAUUGGGCGUAAAGGGCAAGUAGGUGGUCUCGUUUGUCUGAGGUGAAAGCCCCGGGCUCAACCUGGGAAUUGCGAUGAAGACUGCAAGGCUUGAAUCUGGCAGAGGGGGUAGAAUUCCACGUGUAGCAGUGAAAUGCGUAGAGAUGUGGAGGAACACCGAUGGCGAAGGCAGCCCCUGGGUCAAGAUUGACGCUCAUGCACGAAAGCGUGGGGAGCAAACAGG